GGAGAGGUGCGAGAGUGGUCGAAUCGGGCUCCCUGCUAAGGAGUUGUACCCUUAACCGGGUACCGAGGGUUCGAAUCCCUCCCUCUCCGCCU
rnacentral:tRNA from 2 species